GUUUUCUAUUACCGGGUUUUGUUCAAUGCAUGUGAGCAUCCACCCCAAAUUGGUCAAGAAGAGGAGUAGGACUUUGCACAUGAAAGAAGAAACAAAAAAUAAAAAAUUUCUUCUUUUUCGCAACAGAGUUUCUCCUUCUCUUUGCUCUCUUUUCCAGUCGCACAGAGGCACACUUCGUCUUCUUCCUCCAUUUUUCCUCCAUUGUUCGAUGCUCAAAUGUUGUCAAAGAGAGAUUUCUUCAAAGGGUGAGACGAGGAAACUUAUUGCUUCUGCUCGUAGAAGACGUGGAGCAACUGAGCCUAAUGUUGAGGUUGAUGACCAUGGAGUUGUGAGGUUUAAGGAGGAUGCAAUUGUUCUUGAAGAUGGAUUUCUUGGAGCACAAUUUUAAUCAGGAGGAUGAACAUCAAGAUGUUCUUAAAGGUGAAUUGGCAGGGUUGGGUAAUUGCAAAACUUUAAUUUUAAUGAUUAUUGUUUAGUUGAAGGCAAAUUUUAUAUUAAAUAUUAUUCUUUAGGGUCGGGGGGAGAUGAAGUUGAUCUCCCACGGGAACAAGUUAAACAAAUUAGGAUCCUUCCACAAGGGCAUUAGAGACAUGGUGCAUGGUUCGGGUCUGAUUUCUCUGGUGGACAUCUCAUAUGACUACGUGGAUAAGGGUCUACUGCUGGCAUUUGUAGAGAGGUUUCAUUUCGAGGCUAGUAGUUUCCAUCUUCCAGUGGGUGAGAUGUCCGUGACUUUAGAUGAUGUGUCAUCCUUGCUGCAUCUCCCAAUUUUAGGCCAAUUUUGUAAUCUGGAUGAAUUAGAUUUUGAAGAAAGUCAACGCGCCACUCUGGAGGUUUUAGUCAUAUCAACAAGUAUUACUUGUUCAGGAGGAUUUAACCUACCAGCGUAACGAUGUCUCACUAAAGUUUCUACUAAAUCGUGGUUGUGGUAUCCACAUAUCACUUGCAAUACCCACCCAUCGCCAUUAGCAGAUGGCUUGCCCCUUAACUAGAAAUGACACUCACAUUUUUAGGUGCCAUAUGUACUAGGUUCAACAUCGUGUUUGUAUUUUCUAUAUUUUUCACCUCUUUCACAUCCUAGCAACACAAACGUCUUCCUCCUAGGUUGACCGAUAACUUUAUCGGAUCUUAUAGUCACCACAACAAAUCCUAGAUCAUAUGCAAUCCCUCUUACCCAUUCAAUUAAGUUUUCACGAGAAAAAAUAAUUUCAUUUGUUGUGAAAUGAUUUGUUAGAUCACUAGUGCAGAAAAGGCCUUUAACAUCACCCUUUAAAUGUCUGACCACUAGUGGACUUUUUGUAAAUAAGAGAACUAUUUAGACUACGACUAUGGGGGUGAGGGGACGUCUAAAUACGAAUACACGUCAAUGCCCCUCAAAUGGACGUUAGAAAUAUACGAAAAAAUAAACAAAAUUAUUGGCUUUAGACGUCCGGGGGCAGGAGGCCGACGUGUAUGGCCUAUUUAGACGUCGGCCCACAACAUUGGACGUCGAAUUGGUCAACCUAGAAUCCCAAUAGUCACUUUUAGAUGUCUGAUCUUGCCAUCCCGACAUUUAAAGUCCUAUUUAGACGUCGGCACCCCUUCCCUAGACGCCAAAUGACCUAUAAAAGUGACUAUUCCAUUGCCCUUAGACGUCCGUCAGUUAGCCCCAACGUCUAAAUAGGUCUUAGACGUCGACUCCCCCCAACCGAGACGCUAAAUGUGUUCGCCAAAAUUAAUAUUUUAAACUCAUACACGUCGGCUUGGGAGGGGAGUGGACGUGUAACGUCAUUUAGACGUCGGCUGGGAGGGGGGCCAAUGUCUAAAGGUCUCCUAUUACCAACCCGCGAAUGCGAGAUAGCAGUUACGUGCACUCACUAUUCAUUGUCUUCCUUGCGUUUUCUCUCCACGGCCUACGCUUUUGAGUUUUAUGCGUGUUCUUGGGCGGCGAUUUUGAGCGUUUUUGGCCCACGAUUUCUUGCGUUUUUGAGAGGUGCAUUCCUCCAUUUCCCUCCAGAUCAGGAUCAGGAAAGAGCAGAUGUGGUCGACCGGUCACAAGAUUGCCCGAUGUGUUAUCCCGACGUGUUGCAGAGGACAUGAUACAUGUUGACAUUGACCCGAGAUCAGGUCUGCCUUCAAGGUCACAUGUUGAUAAGUUUAGGAGUUAUUUGGGUAUGUUAGCAAAAACCCAUGUUUCUAUCAUUCUUGCAUCUUGAGAUGACAUCCCAAAGGUCGACAAGAACCUUUUAUGGUAGGACAUUCAGAAAGAAAGUCUUAUCCAAUGUAGCGAUCAAAUGGAGGGAUUUCAAGACAAGACUAACACGUCUAUAUGUCUUUGGAGACAAACAACACGAGUCUCCUUGUAACAAGUACAUAAUAACUAAGGAGGAGUUGAUGCAAUUUCGUGCAUCUAGAGAGUCUGGGGACUGACAAGGUAAAAGGUUAGCUGUCCAAGAAAGACAAAGACUAAAUGAUGCUCCUCACGUGUUAUCACGAGGUGGUUAUGCAUUACUUGAGAGGAAGAUGAGAAAGAGUCGAGUAGAGGCCUUAAGACUUGAGUCCCCCGACCUAGCACCUGCAUUUGUUGGGUACGAGAUGUGGAAGGCUGCUCGGACUAAGUCUGAUGGGAACAUAACAUCCUCCUCAGCUGCCUUGAUCUCACAAAUUGAUGAAUUGGUUGAGCAGUAGACUCAGGGAACAUUUGUUGGCCAAGGUAGGGACGACAUUCUAACAACGACCAUUGGAAAGCCCGAGCACCCAGGACGUGUACGUGGAGUUGGUGGGGCGAUUGAUCUUCGUGACUACUUUGCCCCUACACAAAAAAACAUUGAAUCCAUGAGUUAGGAGGCACUGAAGAAGAUGGAUCUUCAGUGGGAGGAAAGGCUCAACCAAAGCAUGAGAUCUAUGGAGCAACGAUUCAUGGAACAACUACAAGAACAAAAAUAAAUCUAAAAAGCGCUUGAAGAGAAGCUGCAUUCCAUGACCCAGGGCACCGUGGGGGUGUCCACUAAAGCUCCAACAGCACCUCGGGUCAACACAAGAGGAUCAUGCUCUCUUGUAGACCCUACUAAGUAUAGUUGUCAAUAUGAGUUGUUGGUUGAGCCUACUUAUGGUUGUUCCCUUAUUAUGCCACCACGCAUUGUGGUUGUUCGACGAGUACUUGAGGGAGGACAACCUAUUUAUGGUGUUCCCUUAUUAUGCCACCACGUUCGUAUGAUGAUUGACGAGGUUCGGGAUUCCCAGGCUCAGAUGUUUGUACCCACUUCAGAAAUUCAUUUUGUGGGGAAGGCCAUAGGAACAUUUAUAGCCUGGCCUAAAACAUUGAUCAUGUCACACAUUGCUACACCACAAUUCACACGUCCUCAGAAGCCAUCGAUGCAUGAGCUAGUUAUAGAUGAAGAUGAUGACAUGGGUGAAGCGGAGGAUGAUCCUCUAUCAAAGCUCAUGACAAAAUUACCCAGGUUGUCCAAAGGACUAGUAGAAUUGUACUGGGAUUUAAGAGUAUUUGGCCUUCAGUGCCAUGUGCCAGUAUAUAUCACAUUAAAUUAUGCACUAGAGGUCAUUGGGGGAGACAGGAUGUUGAAUAUUUCCAUCCUUCAACUAUGAUGCAUGUACAUGGUCACUGUCAUUGUGGACCAAGGUCGAUCUUCCAUGUACGAAUUUGUUGAACCUCAGACCAUUCAACCUUCUGGUAACACAAUUAAGACCAAACAAAAUUAUUUGCAAACAUGGAUGGCUAAGUCAAAUAGAGACGUAUACCUUGUGCCAUACAUUGAUGGGUCUCACUAGCAGUUGAUGGUCAUCAUUCCCAGACAAUGCAAAAUUAUAUGGUUUUGUUCGCUGCACAUGAGGACGAAAAAUGACUUCAAAAACAUGCUUCAAGAUGUAACAAGCAGCUAGAUUCAUGGGAAUGUGGAUAUUAUGUCAUGUUUUGGAUUAAAACCAUCAUUCGAGCUACCAUUACAGAUGACUGGAUUGAGCGCUUCAUGAGUACAUAUCCUAUGCUAAAGGACGUAACUAAAAAGAUAAGACAAGAAUGAGCAACUUAUCUUCUCUAGAGAUGGACGUAGGAAGACCACUAUUGAUGUUGAACAUUAAUUACAUUUAGUUUAAGUUUAACUUUUGAUAGUUUAGGUUUUGGAUUAUUUUUUAGAUUAUUUAGUACUUUGUUAACUUGAAACGCAUAAAAUAUGUUAUAUUUUGC